rnacentral:tRNA from 1 species
GGAGCAGCAGUUCACUUUAUUAGCGGAUGGUUAUGGGUUCGAUUCCCAUCUGCUCCA